GUCAUAAUACAUUUAAUUUUUAAUAUCACCUGUGAGACAUUUACAAAGUUUGUUUUCAUUCGAACUCAUACUUCCAGUUCUCGUUUUCCAAAACUCACUUUUGCCAUUUCCUUAUAUCAACGUCAUACAUAUAUACAUUUGUACCUAUAUACAUUUUGUACAAUUACAUAACUAUAAAUAUCAUGAAAAAAUUUACAAUACGUUCAUUGCUCUCGAUACGUCACUAUGUUAUAAUUGCAAAAAUUUUUCAAAUUUAAAAAUCAAAUUUAAAGAAUUCUAACAUUGUGUUGGAUAACACUGAUCAGUGAGUCUACUCUAAAUAAAUAUCAAGUUUAUAACCAUAUUCUAUUUUAAAAAAGAAAUUUAGGAGGUUAAAGAGAUAGUACUAGUAUACUAAAGUUUCGUCUUUUGUAACGGUCAUUUGUUUCAUGCAAAAUUUGGUCAUUUAAAAAUCAAAAUCAGCAUAUAAAGUUUUUUGAAACGUUCUAUCACCAAUAACUAAGGCAUGCCCUAUAAAAAAUAAAGAACCCUUUAACUCUGUGGCCAAUAGAUGUGCCUAUAUUGAUACUGCCAUUAUAUAAGCUUUGGAUUUCAAAUAUUUUGGCCACGAGCAUCACUGAAGAGACAUGUAUUGUUGAAAUGCGCAUCUGGUGCAGAAACAUUGGUACCGUUAAUGUUAUUACUACCAUUGGGUCGAUGCCUCUGCUGGUGGACUGUUAGUCCCUGAGGGUAUCACCAGCCCAGUAGCCAGUACUUCGGUACUGGCAUGAAAAUACGGAUUUUUUGUGUUAUUAAGAUUUGCUGUUACAAAAUGUUAGAAAUUAUUAUAAAUUAAGGAAUAUAUCUCCCUUAUGCAAAGCUCUGAUUCCUUUUAGGAUUUGGCUAUACUUUUUGGACCUUUUGGAUCAUAGCUCUUCAUCUUUUACAUAAGCUUUGGAUUUCAAAUAUUUUGGCCACGACCAUCUCUGAAGAGACAUGUAUUGUCGAAAUGCGCAUCUGGUGCAGAAAAAUUGGUACCGUUAAUGUUAUUUAUUAACAUAUUGUGGCCAUGAGUACUGUAUCAUAUUUCUUUUUACAAAACAGUUUAGGUUGUAUGAUGCAAAAUUUGGUUAAGAUUUGUAAAAAAAUAGAAUAUCAUGCCCUAUUUAUUUCUUGGAUAAACUCCAACUUGUUAAACAUUACACUGAAAUACGGAUUAUUUACAUUUAGCGGAAAAUAUGGCAGUCUAAUCCACUUUUUUUAUUUAAUUAUUUUUCUGAAUGGAUUAUUCCAUAUUUGAUUUAAUUGACUUUUAUUUUU
rnacentral:lncRNA from 1 species